rnacentral:lncRNA from 1 species
CCCAGGUCCUCGGUGGGGGUGUAGGUGAGGUGGGUGACGCCAUCGGUGACGGGGAUGCCAUCCCGCUGCCAGCUGAUAGUGAUGGCUGGGGGGAAGAUGUUGCCCACCAUACAGAUCAGAGUGUUGGGGUAGCCGAGCUGCAGAGGCUGCUGCAGGAAGACAUCGGCCACCGGGAUGCCCUUGGCUUCAGGCAUUGGGUUUGGCCCGGUGGCGAUUCUGGUGAGCAAAUCGAGCAGCUCACGGCACAGCGCGGCGUCGUGCAGCAGCUCGU